UACAGAGGUCUCAAGCGUUGUUCGGAUUCAUUGGGCGUAAAGGGUGCGUAGGCGGCGCGGUAAGUCGGGUGUGAAAUCUUGGAGCUUAACUCCGAAACUGCAUUCGAUACUGCCGUGCUUGAGGACUGGAGAGGAGACUGGAAUUUACGGUGUAGCGGUGAAAUGCGUAGAUAUCGUAAGGAAGACCAGUGGCGAAGGCGGGUCUCUGGACAGUUCCUGACGCUGAGGCACGAAAGGCCAGGGGGAGCAAACGGG
rnacentral:rRNA from 1 species